AGCCAUGAAGGGAAUGGACCCAUGAAGGACAAAGCCCACAGGAGGGUGCACUGGGGUGUCCAGUGGCUACCAGACGCAUGACAUCAUGACAGACUGAAUGCGGACACAGAUCUGAGAAUCCAGCUGACUUCUGGGCCACACAUUAAAACAAAGACACUUUUCUCAUUAAUUUUUUUGAAAAAUAUUUCAAAAAACAUUAUUUCUGUUGACAUGUUUUGGGCUUAUUGUUAUUUUUAAAUGAAUAAAUUUAAACUUUCUCAGUUUUACUUAUUUUUAUU